GUGCACGCUUUGGCAGCACGUACACCGACAUUGGAACGAUACGGAGAAGAUUAGCAUGGCCCCUGCACAAGGAUGACACGCAGAUCCUUGAAGCGUUCCAUAAUUAA